rnacentral:rRNA from 1 species
AACAUGGCCUUUUGAUAAUGAUUUAAGGUCCGGCCUGCCCAAUGAUAAUUUCAAUGGCUGCAGUAUUUUGACUGUACAAAGGUAGCAUAAUCAUUAGUUUUUUAAUUGAAAGCUUGUAUGAAUGGCUUAAUGAGAAAAGAACUGUCUUUAUUUAAUUUUUAUUAGAACUUUAUUUUUAAGUUAAAAAGCUUAAAUUUUGUUAAAAGACGAGAAGACCCUAUAGAGUUUAAUAGAUGUAUUAUUAAUAAAUUUGAAUAAUUUUAUUUUUAUUUAGUAAUUUUUUUAUUUGGUUGGGGUGACUUAAAAAUUUAAAUAACUUUUUAUUAUUAAACCAUUAAUUUAUGAUUAAUUGAUCCAUUAUGUUAUGAUUAAAAGAUUAAAUUACCUUAGGGAUAACAGCGUAAUUUUUUUGGAGAGUUCUUAUCGAUAAAAAAGUUUGCGACCUCGAUGUUGGAUUAAAAUUAACUAUUGGCGCAGUUGUUAAUGGGUUUGGUCUGUUCGACCUUUAAAAUUUUACAUGAUCUGAGUUUAAACCGGUGUGAGCCAGG